UCGGUAAUUGGUGGUUAUAAUAUGCAUGAAUAAUUAUUAUUAUGUGUUUUUUUGUAGUGCUUCCAAUCGCAUUCAAGCCGGAAGUCAGCGACUAAUCAGGGACUACGAGAGGCUAACCGGUGAUAUUGAAACAUGUGCAAGAGAACGUUGGUUUCUUUUAAACCUAAAAGCCAAGUUUGCAGAGGUAUCAACCAGGAAACAUUUAAUACUAUCCCUGGUGGAAGGAACAUCACAUGGGUAGAAGUCUAUCCAGUUCGACUUUCCAUCAAAACACAUCGACAGUGAUUCCUAGAAACAUAAGGCUUGCAGCAUCAUCAUCUUGCUGAUGAAGAUAUAAACGUUCUUCGUACUGAAAUGCGAGCCACCUUCAACUUUUUUCUGGAUGAUUGGAAGCAUCUAUCAUCUGUUGUCACUGAGUUGAAAUCAAAACCGUCCACAAAAUAUUAGCCUGCCUCAAGUGUGAAAGUUUACUUUUGGAAAUGAAAGCCCUGAGCUGCCAGUUGAUUCGUUUAAUAUGUCGGAUGUCGGAUGUGUCUCUUCCAAUACCCCCACAUGCUGAUGAACUUAGCAUUGAAGAUGUUAAUAUGUUCUUUAUAGCAACGUCAAGAUGAGCCAUUAAUAACGAUAAGUCUAUGUGUAUAAUUGAAUGUCUCAUUAUUCUGCAUUUAUAUACAUGUGCUUAUUCAGCUGCACAUCAGGUGAAGCAGAGAGGCUUCUUGCACCGGGAUAAGACAAGACUGAGAAAAGUUUUAGAAUAUGACAUUGUAUCAUUCCUAAUAAUAAUUAUAUGACAUAUGCACCCACUCACUCAAUAUCAGAGAAUGAGUGGGUGCCCUCAGCUAUGAACUCUUGGUGCAUGCAGUUCCUUGAUGUGCUGCGCUGCAUGUUCCAACCACAGCUAUAUAUAUAUAUAUAGUGCAUAUCAUGCAUAUUAUUAUGAGUCGAAGUUGUAGACACACGUACACACACAUGCAUGCGUACGUCUUUUCAUUGUGCAUGCGUACGUCUUUGUCAUUGUAAAAUGAUUGUAUGUACCACAUCAGUAUAGGAUGUUCAGAAUUAUAGAUCCUUGAACACACAGAAUUCAGAUCAUAACAAUAAUUUUUGGUAUCACAACA